rnacentral:rRNA from 1 species
CCUACGGGGGGCAGCAGUGGGGGAUAUUGCACAAUGGGGGGAACCCUGAUGCAGCGACGCCGCGUGGGUGAAGGAGCGUUUCGGCGCGUAAAGCCCUAUCGGCAGGGAAGAAGGAGGACGGUACCUGACUAAGAAGCCCCGGCUAACUACGGGCCAGCAGCCGCGGUAAUACGUAGGGGGGGAGCGUUAAUCGGAAUUACUGGGCGUAAAGCGCUCGUAGGCGGUAUGUCAAGUCAAAGGUUAAAUCCCCGCGCUCAACGUUGGAACUGCCUUUGAAACUGGCAAACUGGAGUGUGUGAGAGGAUAGGGGAAUUCCAGGUGUAGGAGUGAAAGCCGUAGAUAUCUGGAGGAACAUCAGUGGCGAAGGCGACUAUCUGGCACAUAACUGACGCUGAGGAGCGAAAGCGUGGGUAGCAAACAGGAUUAGAUACCCGAGUAGUC